AGGGUGGCCCUCUGCCCACUUGCCUUGGUAGCUGACUGGCCGUCUGCUUCGCCGGUUUGUGUACAUGCAUCCAGUGAUGUGAGAGAGGAAAGGUCAAAUACAACCGUCUGAAGCUACAACAACAGUAACUACAACAACGAAUGACGUGGCUUCACACCAUAUGCCAGAAAAAUUCAGUAGUGGAACGCAUGUUGCUGAUGUGGCAUGAAUGCUGAUGUGGAUAGUUUGCAUGUUAAGAGAAAUAUGUUAGUGGGGAUGAACUAUUUAGGUGUUAAGAGAAAUAGGUCAGUGGGGGUGAACUAUUAGGUAUUAAAGAUAGGUUAGUCCCAAAAAAUAAUAUAAAAUUACAUAUAAAAUAUCCAAGAUUGAUACUAGAAUAGCAUGAAACAAUAAAAAACUAUAUAUACGUUGAAGACGUAUCAUGGAACUAUGUCAUAAUUGAUGAGCCGCCACCUUGUGGUGUGAGUGAAACUACAUUUAAGCCAAUUUGGGGAUAGUAUAUACAUGCGUGAACGUUGGCUGUCGAGACAAGUGUCUACGAGGGAGGUUAUGAAGAAAACCAAAACUUUUGGAUGACAUUGACACAAUGUGUAUUUAUAUUGUCAAACAAAUCCAUAUCUAAAUUUGAGUUAUGUAAUAGAAAAAUACAAAAAUGCUCUAAGAGGGAAAGAGAGAAAAUGUGAAGAUACUAUUUUCCAUUGAAUUUGUGCUUUUGGUUCUCUUAAUAUGUGUCGUGGUUUCAAUGGAUUUUUUGUGGUAUGCAAGAUUGUAUUAUCAUCUACGACAUCUACGACAUCUAUUCUGAAUUAUAAGAUGUUUUGAAUAUUUCAAUAUGAACUUCAUACAAACUAAAAUGGGUGAACAAAUACACUAAAACGCUCUAUAUACAUCCAAUUCGGAAAAAAAGUUAGAACAUCUUAUAGUUUGGAACGAAGGGAGUAGUAUCUUGUAUAUGGACUUUUUGAACCUGAGCUCACGUCCUUUCUGAUGAACACUAAAUCCAGAAUAGUAAAAACACAAAAUAUUCUUUUUUUUAUAACAUUGAUGAAUGUUUUAACUGCCUGUAAACUUUUGUGGCAAAAUAACAUUCGUGGAUGUCUGGGCAAAAGAAAAAUGAUGCUUUGACAAGAGUAUUGUUGGAAGCAUCGAUUUUUUUCACUAGACCUCCACGAAUGUCAUUUCGUCACAAAAAAAUAUAGGAAGUUAAACCAUUCAUCUUUUUACUAUUUUUUGAAUUUCACUGUUCAUCAGAGAGCAUGUGAUCUCAGGAUCAAAAGAGCACUUUCACGGUAUCUUAAUCUUCACAAAUAUUCAUAUUUUCUUUUUCAACUUUCUGAUAGUGCUACCAUAGCACCAUAACAUCACAAAGACUUGUAGCACUGUAACUUCUCUAGGUGUCCACAUCAAAUAGGAUAUAGUGCAUCCAAGUUAAGUAGCAAGUGUAUUUGCAAAAAAAAAGUUAAGUAGCAAGUUUAAUUAGUACACAUCUUUUACAUGGAAAGCUCAUAUACGAUUACAGUUGUAGCAUGCGAGUAUUCAUUUUGGGAACAUGAAAUUAUGCUUUUCCUUUUAGUAAACAAAUUGACUUCAUUGACUAACAUAGUAACAAUUGACUGAAACUAAGAACGAAGUAUAUAUUGUCAGCAUAUGCUUUUUACUCACUCUGUAAACUAGUAGUAUAAUGUAGAACUGCAAAACGCCUUAUAUAAGUUUACAGAAGAGGUAGUGCCAUUUUAUAUAAUUUUUUUAGUUUCUUAUAUAUAUAAUAUUAUUUUUAUUGUCUCCGGCCCUUUAACAUUUUUUAGGGUAUAUCCGGCCCUUUUACAUUUUUUUUGAGACAAUCCGGCCCUUUUACAUGGUACCGGUCUGUUACUAAUACGCAUCAGGCCCACUUUCCAUCGUCACCAAACGAGGCCUAAAAACAGGCCCAGCGCAACAAACACCCCGCACUGGAAAGUGGAAACCGACCUCCCCUGCGCCCACAAUAUAGACUGAACCAGAUCGGCGGAGCGCCCCCAAUUCCUCACUUCCUGCUUCCGCCCCUCCCCCCCCAUCUCCCCUCUCCCCCUCGCGAGGCCGAGAGCCGACACACCCACCCCAUCCCCGAGCGCCGCUAGGGUUGCGGCUCGCUCCGGCGAUGGAGGACGACGAGUAUGAGGAGGGGAUGGAGAUGGAUAUGGGAGGGCACCAGCACCUCCAGCACCGGGGGUACGGAGCUGAGGAGGAGGUCGAGGGGGGAUACGCCGGCGGCGGGGACGGGGAGGACGAGGAGGAGGAGGCGCGGGACGAGGAGGAGAUUACCCAGGAGGACGCCUGGGCCGUCAUCUCCGCCUACUUCGAGGAGAAGGGCCUCGUGCGCCAGCAGCUCGACUCCUUCGACGAGUUCAUCCAGAACACCAUGCAGGAGAUCGUCGAUGAGUCGGCCGACAUCGAGAUCCGCCCCGAGUCGCAGCACAACCCCGGCCGCCAGGCCGAGUUCGCCGAGGUUGCCCUCCCGACCAUACCAAAUAUGGCUUAAUUUUUGCUCUUAGCUUGGUCGGUUAGGGUUUGGCGACCUUGGUACGACUAGCUGGUGACGGGCCGGUCUCAGAUUAGAUGGGGCGCUGCUCAAAUAGAUGACCAGUUAGGGUUUUGCGGGAGUAUUCAGCUGCUUGCUGGUGUUUAUGGUGGGGGUCUGAGAAUUUUGUCAAUGAUUAAGCAACAACAAAAAAAACCGUGAUGGUGGUGGUUGGAUUGAAUUUUGAUUCUGAAGAGUGGAAUUGCUUGGCUGUGUUCAGAUGAGAGCUCCCUUGCAAGCUCCCUUUCGGAUAGCCGCUAAAGCUUGGAUUUCAGAGGUGGCACUAGGAAUGAUUAGAAUGAGUUUUGCAGACAUGCUUGUUGGCUAGUUUCAGUUAUUUCUCAUGGGUAUUUGUCUCAGGGUCUUACUAUCAAGAUGGUUUCUGUUAUUUUGCCUGUUUUCAUCAGUUUAAACUGAUGAAUUGUACUGGGAAAUCCAGAAAUAUGUAACUAUUGUGUUGUUAUAAUAGAGUUGAAAAAUGUGAAGAACUGGCUGGUCAUUGUUGUUCUAGUCAUUGUGUUGCCAGA
rnacentral:lncRNA from 1 species